CUGCGGCGUCGGAUCCGCAAGCGCUGAGCAGGAGCUCAGCGCUUGCGGAUCCGACGCGCGCG
rnacentral:pre_miRNA from 1 species